rnacentral:rRNA from 1 species
UACGUAGGGUGCGAGCGUUGUCCGGAAUUAUUGGGCGUAAAGAGCUCGUAGGCGGCUUGUCGCGUCGGAUGUGAAAGCCCGGGGCUUAACUCCGGGUCUGCAUUCGAUACGGGCAGGCUAGAGUUCGGUAGGGGAGAUCGGAAUUCCUGGUGUAGCGGUGAAAUGCGCAGAUAUCAGGAGGAACACCGGUGGCGAAGGCGGACCUCUGGGCCGAUACUGACGCUGAGGAGCGAAAGCGUGGGGAGCGAACAGG